CUCAGAGACUGAUGGCUGUGACUGCUUUUCCUGAGCUCUCCUGCUGGCUGACAUCAGCCAAUAGGAGAUACCAACCGCAAAGGAGAAAAGGUUGUAGUGGAGAGAUGUGCCAUAAUGUUUUUCCAUAAACUGAUAACUAAUCUUAUGAGGAUCAUACAAGAUAAGAAAACAGAGGCGCAGUUGGUUAGAUAAUAUUCCAAGUUAAUUUGGUUGAAUUCUGGAAAAUAAUUUCCCUCCACUGGAAAAAUACCUGAUUUAAUUAUUUGUGGAUAAAUAAAAAGUUCCCAUGAUAUAUUAGAUGACGAAUUACAAGGCAAUCACCAGAAAGAAAAAGAAGACUACACGACUAGCCAUGUUCUGGGGCUCCCUUUCUGUUUAUUUUGAAGGGUAGUCAUUGGCUUAGCCAAAAAUUCACCUGCCAUGAAUUAUAUCAUAUGCUCCUUAAAUAUGAACAAAUAGAAAUGUUGCAGUGUGACUUGUGUUAUAUGAAUUUUGGGGAGUUAGUAGGAGUUUUUCAAAGUCUUCAUGAUCUCUGUGCUUCCAUGAGUGGAAAGCUGUUUUGUUUUAUUUUUGACCAAAUCAUAGGAAUUAGGUUCUGAUGGUAGAAAGCUUGAGUUUAACAAGCCAGCAUUCAAGUUGGACCUUAUAAACAUGCCCAGAUCUGAGGCAUAAAUUGAAAACUACAUGAGAAGAGGAAUCUGUUCUCCACAGAGAAUUUCUCUGAGGAGGGCCCUUCAGAGUUCCAACAUUCCUAUAAGGUGGUUUAAAAUUUAGAGAUGAAUCUCUGUACUCCAUGCCCCAAAAGACGUAUGCACUUAAAAAAACACCUCUUUUACCAACUUGAUUGU